GCAAGCUCAGGUGGCAGGUCCCAUCUGAUGGAGGAGAAUCAAUUCAAGGAGAUGCCCUUCCUUUACAGAACACCCUUUAACAGCAUCCAGGAGGAACGAGAGGCUGCAAUACUGAGGCUUUCAAAGUACUCACGAGGAUGUCCGAGAAUGGCUGUGAUGCCAGGCUUCUGGCAGGUUCCAGACUCCAUCACAAGCCCAGCAUCCCUGCACCAGAUCUGACAUCGCUGCUGUUGUGCCAGCUGUUUAUGAAGGGCCUGAGUAGCUAGCAGGUUUUUAUCAGGAGCCCUGCUGGGGGCUUAGACACCAAAAGAGAAGACUCAUCCUCUGUAGUUCUUCUUGUGAAUGUCCUUUUAGAAAAACAAUUAGAACCAACCACAAGCACCAAAGUCCUAAUGGGAUCUCCUGCGAGCACAUAUCAAGCAGGAUUGUUGCUAUUUCUCCUCACUGGCUCUUUGGACAGACUGUGUGAGCUCCUGGAGGGUUCCACUGUAUCUACCCUUUGACACUGACCAGUUGGCACAUGGUGACAUAUUCCAAUGUGUUGAUUGCAAAUGUGAACGUACAGCCAGUGCUGUGUGCGGGAGGACUCUCUCCUCCUCAGUGGGGCCACACCGUGCACUAUUAAUGGAGCCCCACUCCUUUGCACAGCCUGGCCAUGCAGUGGCUCAUAUUGAGGUUUUAGCCAACUGAAAUCUCCCGUGCAUUUUUCUGACAAGCCAGCUAGGCCUCUGCUAUGCUGUCCUUGUGUCUUUCAUUUGAUGACCUUAAGGGUGGGACUGUUUUAUCUUAAGUUACAGGUGGUCAAGUCCAGCCCAAGGACAGCAACUCUGAGGGUCAAGCCUCAUAGGCUAACUGGAUAGAUGUUCUCUGCUUUGCCACCCACUGGAGCCCGACCUGCCCCACUAAUUUAUAUUUCCCCUGGUCUCAUUUUGUACUUUUUAUUUAUAAUUCACCCUUAAAGUGUAUGUGUCUCUUAUAAGCUGCCUCCGAUCUUUCAUGGUAUGAGGUGGUUACCUAAAUAAAGAAGGAGAUUUGGCCUUUGUUUUUAUGUAACA
rnacentral:lncRNA from 1 species